rnacentral:rRNA from 1 species
CUACGGGAUGCUCCAGUGGGGAAUAUUGGACAAUGGGCGCAAGCCUGAUCCAGCAAUGCCGCGUGAGUGAAGACGGCCUUAGGGUUGUAAAACUCUUUCGCUAGGGAAGAUAAUGACUGUACCUAGUAAAGAAGUCCCGGCUAACUCCGUGCCAGCAGCCGCGGUAAUACGGAGGGGACUAGCGUUGUUCGGAAUUACUGGGCGUAAAGAGUUCGUAGGCGGACUGACAAGUUAGAGGUGAAAUCCCAGGGCUCAACCCUGGAACUGCCUUUAAAACUGUCAGUCUAGAGACCGGAAGAGGUUAGGGGAAUACCUAGUGUAGAGGUGAAAUUCGUAGAUAUUAGGUGGAACACCAGUGGCGAAGGCGCCUAACUGGUCCGGUACUGACGCUGAGGAAUGAAAGCGUGGGGAGCAAACAGGAUUAGAUACCCCAGUAGUC